rnacentral:lncRNA from 1 species
AUGUAGGCUGCUUCUCUCAGAUCCUUCAUGAAGAAUUAUGACGAUAGCCAAACUUUUAUUUUCUAAAUGUAGGGACAUCAUUUUCAAUUAAGAGAAUGUUAUCCACAUACAACAUAAGAAAUAUAAUUAUUGAACCAUUUUCUCACUUAUAUAUGCAGGGUUCCUCUUCGUUCCUAGUGAAGCCAUACAUUCUGAUCACCUUAUCAAAACGUAUGUUCCAACUCUGAGAU